GCGCACGCAGGCGGUCUGUCAAGUCGGAUGUGAAAUCCCCGGGCUCAACCUGGGAACUGCAUUCGAAACUGGCAGGCUAGAGUCUUGUAGAGGGGGGUAGAAUUCCAGGUGUAGCGGUGAAAUGCGUAGAGAUCUGGAGGAAUACCGGUGGCGAAGGCGGCCCCCUGGACAAAGACUGACGCUCAGGUGCGAAAGCGUGGGGAGCAAACAGGAUUAGAAACCCUNGUAGUC
rnacentral:rRNA from 1 species